ensembl:lncRNA
AGAAGUACAGAGCAGAGCCGGCGGCUGGGGGCUUUAGAGGCCAGCCUGUUCCCUGCAAGCGUUCAGCAGGCGGAGCCUCGCUCUUGGAGACCCGGCUUCGUAAAGCUGGCGGCCUCGAGAACCUGCAAAGAGUCAGUUUUUAGUGAAAAAGCAUUGAGACAGGAGCCAGACCCACCUCUUCACUAAUUUGAUAUUGUGCAAGUCAUCUUACCUCUCUGGAUCUCAGUUGCCUCAUCUGUAAAAGGGAGAUAGAAAUUCUUUACCUGUUUGAAGAAGUUUAUGGAUAGAAGUGAAGUGAAGCGAAAUCUCUCAGUUGUGUCUGACUCUUUGCGACCCCAUGGACUGUCGCCCACCAGGCUCCUCUGUCCAUAGAAUUCUCCGGGCAAGAGUACUGGAGUGGGUUGCCAUUUCUUCCUCCAGAGGAUAUUCCCGACCCAGGGAUUGAACCCAGGUCUCCUGCAUUGCAAUCAGACACUUUACCCUCUGAGCCACCAGGGAAGCCCAAAUAUGCCCUAUACAUGUCACAUGAAAUGAUUCAAUUGCCAUUUUAUCUGUAAAGAAAGUGAAUUGAAAUAAAAUUUUGAGAAAAGGAAACUGAAAUUUAGGGACUGGAAAUUGGUGAGGGAAGAACUUAAAGAUUCAGUCCAUCAUUUAGGGAUAUUAGAAAGAUUAUAAGGAGCAUUUAGCAUUGUAAGU